AUUAAUAUUUAUUUAUUAAUUUUUUUUGUUUAAAUAAUUUAUUUUUAAAAAUAAUUUUAAAUUUAAAAAGUUUAAGUAUUGUAUAAAGAAAAAAUAAUUUUUAUAAUAGUGUAAUAGUAUUGUAUAAAAAAAUUGAAAUAAUUUGAAAAAUUUUUAUUUAAAAAGAAAAAUUUAAUUUUUGUACCUUGUGUAUCAGGGUUAAUUAAUAAAAUUUUAAAAUUUUAAAUUUCUCGAGUUUAAGAGAUCUAAUAAAUUAAUUUAGUUAUUGUAAAAUAAAUAUUAAAAAUAAUUUAUUAGAAAUAAAACGUUAUUCGUUCUUAAAUAUAUCUAGUUUUUUAAGAAAAAAAUUCAAUUUUUACAUAAAUAUUUAUUAAAUUUAAUUUAAUUAAAUUAAUGAAAUUUUUAUGUAAAUAUUUUAAGGGAUGAGCUUUAAAAUAAAUAAUUAUAUUUUAAAAAUAUUUUUUUAAAAAAAUAGUCUUAUAAAUAGUCAUUUUUAAAAAUUAUGUUAUAAUUUAUUAAAAAUAAAAAAUAUUUAAUUAAAAAUUAAUUUUUUAUUAAAAUAUUUAUUUUAAUUUUAAAAAUAAAGAAAUAAUGAUUAAAUUAGUAAAUACUAAUAUGUUUAUUAAAAUAAAAAUCGAAAGGUUUAUUUUAAUUAAUUCGACAAAAUUAAAUAUUCACCUGUUUAUCAAAAACAUGUCUUUUUAGAAAAUUUUUAAAAAGUCUAACCUGCCCACUGAAAAAUUUUAAAUUAAAGGGCCGCGGUAUUUUGACCGUGCAAAGGUAGCAUAAUCAUUAGUCUUUUAAUUGAAGGCUCGUAUGAAUGGUUGAAUGAAAUAUUUAUUGUAUCAAGAAAAUUUAUAAUUGAAUUUUAUAUUUUAAUUAAAAAGUUAAAAUUAAAUUAAAAGACGAGAAGACCCUAUAAAUCUUUAUAAUUAUUUAUAUUUUAUUUAUAAAGAAAAUUUAAAAUUUAAUUUAAAAAAUUAUUUUAUUGGGGUGAUAUUAAGAUUUAAUUAACUUUUAAAAAUUUUAAACAUUUAUAUAUGAUAAAUUGAUCCAUUAUUAUGAUUAAAAAUUUAAGUUACUUUAGGGAUAACAGCGUAAUUUUUUUAGAGAGUUCAUAUCGAUAAAAAAGAUUGCGACCUCGAUGUUGGACUAAGAAUUAUUUUAGGUGUAGAAGUUUAAAAUUUAGGUCUGUUCGACCUUUAAAUUCUUACAUGAUCUGAGUUCAGACCGGCGUAAGCCAGGUUGGUUUCUAUCUUUAAUUAAUUAAAAUAUUUUAGUACGAAAGGACCAAAUAUUUAAAUUUAAGAUUUUUAAAAAUGAAAAAAAUUAAUUAAUUAAA
rnacentral:rRNA from 1 species